rnacentral:misc_RNA from 1 species
AAGUCGUAACAAGGUAUCCGUAGGUGAACCUGCGGAUGGAUCAUUAUCAAAACGUUAUCCACGUAUAAACCAAUCUUAUCGUGAACUGUUUGUAUGCCUUUCGAAGUAGAGGAGGAACGGGGCCUUUCGGGGACCUUACUACUCUUUGAAACGAAAGCGUAUAAUUACUUCAUAACAUUAACCAAUUGAACCAUUUCUAAAUGAAAUUGUUUUUUAUCUUCUUUGUGUGAACUGAAUUGUUUCUUACUCGUAAUUCAUUUUAUGAGAAGAAAUCUAUUUACGAAACAAAGUAAAAAAGAACAACUCUUAGCAACGGAUAUCUUGGUUCUC